UAUCAGAAGUCCAGUGAACUUUUGAUUUGCAAGCUCCCCUUUCAGCAUCUUGUGCUAGAAAUUGCUUAGAACUUCAAAACAGAUUUGUGCUUCCAGAGUGCAGCUAUUAGUGCUUUGCAGGAGGCAAGUGAUGUCUAUCUGGUUGGCCGUUUUGAAGUUACUAACCUGUGUACUAUCCAUGGCAAACAUGUAACAAACAAUUAUGUCAAAAGAUAUCCAGCUAGCACUCCACAUAUGUGGAGAAUGUGCUUAA
rnacentral:lncRNA from 1 species